rnacentral:tRNA from 1 species
AAGGAUUUAAGUUAAAAAAACUAUUAACCUUCAAAGUUAAAAAUAUAUUUUAUAAAAAAAAUAAACCUUA